CCUACGGGAGGCUGCAGUGAGGAAUAUUGGUCAAUGGCCGGAAGGCUGAACCAGCCAUGCCGCGUGAAGGUCAGUGCCCUAUGGGCGUUAAACUUCUUUUGUGCGGGAGCAAUAAUGGUCACGUGUGGCCAGACGAGAGUACCGUACGAAUAAGCAUCGGCUAACUCCGUGCCAGCAGCCGCGGUAAUACGGGGGAUGCAAGCGUUAUCCGGAUUUAUUGGGUUUAAAGGGUGUGUAGGCUGUGAGGUAAGUCAGCGGGGAAAUGCCCCCGCGCAACGGGGUGAAGUGCCAUUGAUACUGCCUUGCUGGAAUGCGGAUGCCGUGGGAGGAAUGUGUGGUGUAGCGGUGAAAUGCAUAGAUAUCACACAGAACACCGAUUGCGAAGGCAUCUCACGAAUCCGCGAUUGACGCUGAUGCACGAAAGCGUGGGUAUCAAACAGGAUUAGAUACCCGAGUAGUC
rnacentral:rRNA from 1 species